rnacentral:lncRNA from 1 species
GAUGACGUCGACUACCUGCCACCGUCACGUAGGAGGAGAAAAAGGUAAAACCUGGGGAAGGGGCAUGGUCGAGUAGCCCAUCACCCUUCUCUACAAUGACCAUCAGCCUCCAAUGCAUCUUGGACUGGAAACGGAAUGCAGCUGGACCGGUGCACGGUGGUGGUGAUGGACCUACAAAGGCCGAUAAACGGGGGCAAAGUCGACUCUCCGUCGUUACGAUUCUAGGAGAAAAGAACCCGGAGAGUUAGAACUGGGAACGAACAAAGAGAAGACCACGAUUUGGCGGUACCUGUAACCUUUCUCGUUUCGUAAUGAUGUUAUACCUGAAAUAUGCAUUGCCUAUAAGCGACUACUGGUGGUGAUGAAUUUUUGGUACGGAAUUUGCAUUUACGCGUAGAGUAUGAAAUGAGAUAUACGUACGUAAUCCCUUCUCUUGGGACUUUCACUGCGAGUAUAUUUGGUAUCGUGAAUUUUAGAAAAUAAGAUUGCAGCUCGCUUUUCAAAUUUGCAUGACAUGUGCAUAGACAGUGUUAACGAUUCUUCGACGGUUCGACCGAAAUCCAUUUUGCGAUAUGGAUGACGUACACGCGUCGUUUGCUUUCUGGUUCCAGGUAUUUGUGCUACUUGAGAAGAAUCUGUAAACAAGGACCGUGAAAACGGUGAUAGAACUCCAUGUAUUUAUAUGGCGUAAUUAACUACUGCGUAAACUUGAUCACGCACCAGAAACGGCAAACGAUAGCUUCGAAAGCAAGUUGAUAAUUAGGAUGAAAUUUCUCUGACGAUGAGGGAUUAGCACAAAACCCACUCGAGAAAUUAAGUCAAGCGCUCAUCUUCAACGUGGAUAGAAUUGGAACACGCUUAGCGUUUCUCAUUCCGAAACUUUGGGUAGAGACGGAUGGGCAAAAAAUUGUAGUUUUUUUUUAAUUCUACGCCUGGGUGAGGUGACAAAGCUAAUCUUAAGUCUGAGGAUUUAAUUGUUAACCAACCUUCCUACCAUCUCAUCAACCGAUGAAUUAUUCUGACUAUUAUUCAAGUCUAUGUAACUUGCAGCUUUUACUUCAGCCAACACAUUCGAUAAAUUACGACCAACAGAAGAGGCAAGAUUGUGCAAUGUAACAGUGUCUCCGUUACCAUACAGAGAUCGUAAUUGAUUUUUGUAAAGGGUUUCUUGUCUUAGCAUAUCUACCUAUUUCUACGUUCGCAAUUUGUUCAAGGAUUCAGGAUAAUCGUUGAAGUAGUUCGAGGGAAAUAAACGAAACUACAAUACAGAGUUGUGAGCCUUGAGUGAGGUCUGACAAACAGGCGAGUCACGGAAAAUUUUCAAGUGUACAGCAUCGCAGUACUUGGAAUACCGAAACCUCAGCACGUACGCUGGAAGAUCUUGAAUUUAGAUUGACUGACAGGCAAUACUGAGCAACCUAUGUUACGUCGUACUCGUACAGCAUCAUCAAACGAUGAAUUAUUGGAGAUCUGAAAAUUUCACAUGCAUGAGUAGCCAAGAUUUGGCAGUAUGGAGAACGUCGAAUGCAUUUUUUACUGGAGAAUAAUAAAUUCGCGUCAAGUUCAUCGGCUGGAAGUCUUCAACACAAACGCAUGAUGUCGAGCAGCACAAGAUGAAUGAACACUGCAAAUCACACGGAUUUCAAUGGAAGAAGGUCCUUAAUAAGUGGCACGGAAGACAUAUAACAGUGAUCAAGCGUUUAUCGUUAAACUGAGCAGAUUCAAAAUAUCUGAAAAUGUGCUUAAACGAUUUGCUUGGGAAACCACGUUUAGUUCAAUUUAGUUGACGUUAAUUGGAUCGUGGAGGUGAAAAUUUAUGUGCGUGAUAUUGAUGGGUGUUAAUUAGUUAAUUAGUUAGUACGUUACCCUAUAAUCUGCAUAGUAUCAUCAAUCAUGUAUUUCUAAUUAAAUAUUUUGUACUGAUAUGAAUAUGGGAAAUGAUGCCAAAACUAUGUUGUAUGAAUGCUCUCUGAUUAAUUAUUGAUACGAAGGUCGCGACGAGUCUGAAAACGCGUCUCAAACUGAUUCUAGGACCAUUGGUUUUUCACCGCAACAGACACGGAAUGAAUCUAACACCUGUAAGAUUUUUACGGACGAAGUUUAGCUACUUAUUUUUUUCGAUAGAGAACCGUUGCGUAGUCUGAGCUCGCCGCGAACGGCGUAUUACAAUAUGUCGUGAUUUUUGCCCAAAAUUUUGACAGUUUUGAUAACGCUGGAAACAAUUCUUUCAUGCACUUUCAUACACACGUAAUUUUGAGAUAAAAAUCGAUUGCGCGCAGUCCGAACACGCCGCGCGCAAUGGGUCAAGAGAUUCAGCCGACAAACAAGAAAAUCUUGCGGUAUUAUCAGUUGUUGGUCCUUUGCGAUUGUAUGUACCCAUUCUUCAUUUUCGAGGGUCCGAUUGGAGUACAAACUUCGCAAAGACAGCAAGUUUUACCUAACAAAGAAAGGUUCAGAAGUACCAUCCAAAAUACAAAGAAAAUUUUGACUGGGUCUCGACAAGGUGAUAGAGAAAAGUCAUAAAUUCAUGGCUCAAAGUUUCGAUUUAUUCAGUAUGACUUAAUUCUAGUACAAGUGUUCCUGUGUCAGUGUGUAGUUAUUUAACAGGUUAACAGAUAGAGCUGGAGUUGAAGACUAAGGAAAAGCAAUAAUAUCAUUGAAUAUGUGAUCAGUAAUCUAAUUAUUGGAUGAGAAAAUAUGUGUGCAAUAUACACUGUCAUGGGCAGACCAUGAAAAAUAUUAUAUCGGAUGAUUAUAAUCAUAGUUUGAGUACACAGCUCAAAUUUCGGCAGAGGUACGCUAGCGAGAAAUGUAUGCACGAACGAUGAAUGUUGUAUAAUAUUGUAUGG